CAGAGGGUGCAAGCGUUGUUCGGAAUUAUUGGGCGUAAAGCGCGUGUAGGCGGCUUGGCAAGUCGGGUGUGAAAUCCCUCAGCUUAACUGAGGAAGUGCGCCCGAAACUGCCGAGCUUGAGUACCGGAGAGGGUGCGGAAUUCCCCAAGUAGAGGUGAAAUUCGUAGAUAUGGGGAGGAACACCGGUGGCGAAGGCGGCCACCUGGACGGAUACUGACGCUGAGACGCGAAAGCGUGGGGAGCAAACAGGAUUAGAUACCCUGGUAGUCCACGCCGUAAACGAUGAGAACUAGGUGUCGUGGGUGUUGACCCCCGCGGUGCCGUAGCUAACGCAUUAAGUUCUCCGCCUGGGAAGUACGGCCGCAAGGCUAA
rnacentral:rRNA from 1 species